GCACCUGAAAUCAAGUAGGAUGACCCGCUGGACUUAAGCAUAUUACUAAGCGGAGGAAAAGAAAUUAACAAAGAUUGCCUUAGUAAGGGCGACUGAACCGGC
rnacentral:rRNA from 1 species